rnacentral:rRNA from 1 species
CCUACGGGAGGCAGCAGUGGGGAAUAUUGCACAAUGGGCGCAAGCCUGAUGCAGCCAUGCCGCGUGUAUGAAGAAGGCCUUCGGGUUGUAAAGUACUUUCAGUCGUGAGGAAGGUGUUAAGGUUAAUAACCUUAGCAAUUGACGUUAGCUACAUCCUCAGCCCCGUCUCCCUCCUUUCCCUAAGCCGCUACAGUACGGAGGGUGCGAGCGUUAAUCGGAAUUACUGGGCGUAAAGGGCACGCAGGCGGUUAAUUAAGUUGGAUUUGAAAUCCCCGGGCUUAACCUGGGAAUGGCAUUCAAGACUUGUUAGCUAGAGUCUUGUAGAGGGGGGUAGAAUUCCAUGUGUAGCGGUGAAAUGCGUAGAGAUGUGGAGGAAUACCGGUGGCGAAGGCGGCCCCCUGGACAAAGACUGACGCUCAUGUGCGAAAGCGUGGGGAGCAAACAGGAUUAGAUACCCGUGUAGUA